rnacentral:rRNA from 1 species
AGCAGCCGCGGUAAUUCCAGCUCCAAUAGCGUAUAUUAAAGUUGUUGCAGUUAAAAAGCUCGUAGUUGAAUUUCGGGAUCAGUUGGUCGGUCGUGCCUCGGUACGUACUGGUCAAAUUGAUUCCUACCUUCUGACGAACCACGAUGUCAUUAAUUUGGUGUCGCGGGAAAUCAGGACUGUUACUUUGAAAAAAUUAGAGUGUUUAAAGCAGGCUCGCGCUUGAAUACAUUAGCAUGGAAUAGUGAAAUAGGACGUUUGAUUCUAUUUUGUUGGUUUCUAGGAUCGACGUAAUGAUUAAUAGGGAUGGUUGGGGCAUUAGUAUUCAAUUGUCAGAGGUGAAAUUCUUGGAUUUAUUGAAGACUAACUACUGCGAAAGCAUUUGCCAAGGAUGUUUUCAUUAAUCAAGAACGAAAGUUAGGGGAUCGAAGACGAUCAGAUACCGUCGUAGUCUUAACCAUAAACUAUGCCGACUAGGGAUCGGAUGAUGUUAAUUUUUUAAUGACUCA